UCGAGGGGCAGCGGGGGUAGCGAUACCCGCCGGCGACCGGCGCACGGGUGAGUAACGCGUAUGCAACUUACCUAUCAGAGGGGGAUAACCCGGCGAAAGUCGGACUAAUACCGCAUAAAGCAGGGGCCCCGCAUGGGGAUAUUUGCUAAAGAUUCAUCGCUGAUAGAUAGGCAUGCGUUCCAUUAGGCAGUUGGCGGGGUAACGGCCCACCAAACCGACGAUGGAUAGGGGUUCUGAGAGGAAGGUCCCCCACGUUGGUACUGAGACACGGACCAAACUCCUACGGGAGGCAGCAGUGAGGAAUAUUGGUCAAUGGGCGUAAGCCUGAACCAGCCAAGUCGCGUGAGGGAUGAAGGUUCUAUGGAUCGUAAACCUCUUUUAUAAGGGAAUAAAGUGCGGGACGUGUCCCGUUUUGUAUGUACCUUAUGAAUAAGGAUCGGCUAACUCCGUGCCAGCAGCCGCGGUAAUACGGAGGAUCCGAGCGUUAUCCGGAUUUAUUGGGUUUAAAGGGUGCGUAGGCGGCCUUUUAAGUCAGCGGUGAAAGUCUGUGGCUCAACCAUAGAAUUGCCGUUGAAACUGGGGGGCUUGAGUAUGUUUG
rnacentral:rRNA from 1 species